rnacentral:rRNA from 1 species
GACGAACGCUGGCGGCGUGCUUAACACAUGCAAGUCGAACGGAAAGGCCCUGCUUUUGUGGGGUGCUCGAGUGGCGAACGGGUGAGUAACACGUGAGUAACCUGCCCUUGACUUUGGGAUAACUUCAGGAAACUGGGGCUAUUACCGGAUAGGAGCUCCUGCUGCAUGGUGGGGGUUGGAAAGUUUCGGCGGUUGGGGAUGGACUCGCGGCUUAUCGGCUUGUUGGUGGGGUAGUGGCUUACCAAGGCUUUGACGGGUAGCCGGCCUGAGAGGGUGACCGGCCACAUUGGGACUGAGAUACGGCCCAGACUCCUACGGGAGGCAGCAGUGGGGAAUAUUGCACAAUGGGCGGAAGCCUGAUGCAGCAACGCCGCGUGCGGGAUGACGACCUUCGGGUUGUAAACCGCUUUCGCCUGUGACGAAGCGUGAGUGACGGUAAUGGGUAAAGAAGCACCGGCUAACUACGUG